rnacentral:rRNA from 1 species
AUGAACAAGAUGACAGGACGCAUCGGCGACUCGCCCCUCAUCGGCGCCGGCACCUACGCGUGCGGUCUCUGCGCCGUGUCGUGCACCCUGGCGCGAGACGUGGCGGCCGUCAUGGAGUACAAGGGGCUGCCUCUGCAGGAGGCCGUGGAUUUCUGCGUCAAGGAGCGGCUCGACGAGGGCUUCGCGGGGCUCAUCGCCGUGUCUGGCACCGGCGAGGUGGCGUACGGGUUCAACUGCACCGGCAUGUUCAGGGGCUGCGCCACCGAGGACGGCUUCAUGGAGGUCGGCAUCUGGGAGUGA